rnacentral:rRNA from 1 species
GACGAACGCUGGCGGCGUGCUUAACACAUGCAAGUCGAACGGAAAGGCCCUGCUCUUGUGGGGUGCUCGAGUGGCGAACGGGUGAGUAACACGUGAGUAACCUGCCCUUGACUUUGGGAUAACUCCAGGAAACUGGGGCUAACACCGGAUAGGAGCUCCUGAAGCAUGGUGGGGGUUGGAAAGUUUCGGCGGUUGGGGAUGGACUCGCGGCUUAUCAGCUUGUUGGGGGGGUAGUGGCUUACCAAGGCUUUGACGGAUAGCCGGCCUGGGAGGGGGACCGGCCACAUUGGGACUGAGAUACGGCCCAGACUCCUACGGGAGGCAGCAGUGGGGAGUAUUGCACAGUGGGCGGAAGCCUGAUACAGCGACGCCGCGUGCGGGAUGACGGCCUUCGGGUUGUAAACCGCUUUCGCCUGUGACGAAGCGUGAGUGACGGUAAUGGGUAAAGAAGCACCGGCUAACUACGUG